rnacentral:rRNA from 1 species
UACGAACCGAGCGAACGUUAUUCGGAAUCACUGGGCUUAAAGGGCGCGUAGGCGGGCGAUCAAGUCGAGGGUGAAAGCCCCCAGCUCAACUGGGGAAGUGCCUCCGAUACUGGUCGUCUCGAGGGGGAUAGGGGCAUGCGGAACUUCCGGUGGAGCGGUGAAAUGCGUAGAUAUCGGAAGGAACACCGGUGGCGAAAGCGGCGUGCUGGAUCCCUUCUGACGCUGAGGCGCGAAAGCCAGGGGAGCGAACGGG